UACGGAGGGUGCAAGCGUUAUCCGGAUUCACUGGGUUUAAAGGGUGCGUAGGUGGAUUAGUAAGUCAGUGGUGAAAUCUCCGGGCUUAACCCGGAAACUGCCAUUGAUACUAUUAGUCUUGAAUACCGUGGAGGUCAGCGGAAUAUGUCAUGUAGCGGUGAAAUGCUUAGAUAUGACAUAGAACACCAAUUGCGAAGGCAGCUUACUACCCGAAUAUUGACACUGAGGCACGAAAGCGUGGGGAUCAAACAGG
rnacentral:rRNA from 1 species